rnacentral:rRNA from 1 species
AACAAACGCUGGCGGCGUGCCUAAUACAUGCAAGUCGAACGGGGAAAGCUUUCGGGUGAGUACUAGUGGCGCAAGGGUGAGUAACGCGUGGAUAAUCUGCCUUGAAGAGGGGGAUAACCCGUCGAAAGAUUGGCUAAUACCGCAUAAGACCACAGGGACUGAGGUUCUAGAGGUGAAAGGUUUUUCGCUUCAAGAUGAGUCCGCGUAAGAUUAGCUAGUUGGUGAGGUAACGGCUCACCAAGGCGACGAGCUUUAACUGGUCUGAGAGGAUGAUCAGUCACACUGGAACUGAGACACGGUCCAGACUCCUACGGGAGGCAGCAGUAGGGAAUAUUGCACAAUGAAGGAAACUCUGAUGCAGCGACGCCGCGUGAGUGAUGAAGGCCUUCGGGUCGUAAAGCUCUGUCGCAGGGGAAUAACACAAUGAAGGUACCCUGUAAGAAAGGAUCGGCUAACUUCGUGCCAGCCGCCGCGGUAACAC